GGCUGUGCUAUGAGGAAGGAGUCAGUGCUGUGAGGAGCUGCCCAUGAGAAGACUUGAGAGCACCAAACUGAGUUGGUGCUGUUGACACACCUGAAGAAUGGGAUGCCAUCCAGAGGAACCCGGACAAAGACAAGAAGGGAGCCAAUGGGAACUACAUGCAGUCUAACAAGACCAAGCAGAAGAUUUAAAGGGAGUUCAGAUGUCCAGUACUCUGUUCAGCACACAGAUAAACAAUGCCAUGGAGGUCAAUGCCAUGCCAUCUCAAGUACACCACUUUGCCCUCCUCCAGAAGACCCCAGGUUCAGCAUCCAAUAUUUCAGGCCGGUCCAGAUAACUUAGGGUAACUCGUGUUUUUGUGCUGUCACAAUUUCAUAAUUUGUGCUGUGAUCCAAUAAAGCAGCUCCACGUAUGGGUACCUGGAAUGGGAUAUGCAGUUCAAGAUUAUCAGCUCUCAAUGUAGAUUUACUGUGUGCAUGUGAGCUCUUUUGUAGGCACCAUUUGUUAUAGUCAGAGGUGAUCUAUGGCAUCAUAUGAUUCCCACAGAGGAAGCUAGUGCCUUUUGAGGUACCCCGAGAUAUUCUAAGGUAUCUGAGAGGUCUGCAAAGGGCUGCAAGAUAGGAUAAAUUCUUCUUUUAUGUUCCUCUGGAUAGGAAGGUAAAGGCCAGCUCCUCAGAAACAGCUCAGGAUAUCUCAGGUAUCCUCGGGUGCCCAACUGAUUUGUACUUAGGAAAAGCAAUGUAUCUUUCCAGAGAAUCUGCUCAGUCUGUUGUAGACACCUGGUGUCUUCUCACCUGAAUAAUUUCCUAAGCUUAAUUGAAUGAGGGUUUAUAAUUUUGUCUAAACACAACUCUAUAUUGACAUUUGAAAUUAUCUAGUAUUUCUUGUCCAAGGGUACACAUAAUAUUAUAAUUCACAACCACCCUCUAAAAAACCUCAAUGUAAAGAUUUUAUU